GACGAACGCUGGCGGCGUGCCUAAUACAUGCAAGUAGAACGCUGAAGGAGGAGCUUGCUUCUCUGGAUGAGUUGCGAACGGGUGAGUAACGCGUAGGUAACCUGCCUGGUAGCGGGGGAUAACUAUUGGAAACGAUAGCUAAUACCGCAUAAGAGUAGAUGUCGCAUGACAUUUGCUUAAAAGGUGCAAUUGCAUCACUACCAGAUGGACCUGCGUUGUAUUAGCUAGUUGGUGAGGUAACGGCUCACCAAGGCAACGAUACAUAGCCGACCUGAGAGGGUGAUCGGCCACACUGGGACUGAGACACGGCCCAGACUCCUACGGGAGGCAGCAGGAGGGAAUCUUCGGCAAUGGACGGAAGUCUGACCGAGCAACGCCGCGUGAGAGAAGAAGGUUUUCGGAUCGUAAAGCUCUGUUGUAAGAGAAGAACGAGUGUGAGAGUGGAAAGUUCACACUGUGACGGUAUCUGACCAGAAAGGGACGGCUAACUACGUG
rnacentral:rRNA from 1 species